UACAGAGGUCCCGAGCGUUGUUCGGAUUCACUGGGCGUAAAGGGUGCGUAGGUGGUGGGAUAAGUCAUGCGUGAAAUCCCCGGGCUCAACCCGGGAACUGCGUCUGAUACUGGAAGGCUUGAAUCCGGGAGAGGGAUGCGGAAUUCCAGGUGUAGCGGUGAAAUGCGUAGAUAUCUGGAGGAACACCGGUGGCGAAGGCGGCAUCCUGGGCCGGUAUUGACACUGAGGCGCGAAAGCCAGGGGAGCAAACGGG
rnacentral:rRNA from 1 species